rnacentral:lncRNA from 1 species
CCGAGUGGCCAGGGCUGCUGCCCUCCAACUUGGAGGGCAGUAGUUCGAACCCCCACAAAAAUAUUGUGGGGGUAUUUCUUUUCUCAAUUAAUUUGAGUGAAGGUAGUCUUCUCUCUUACCCAUGAGUGAGGAGUAGACAUCCAUCGAAUAUUUGUAAGAGUUAAAAUCUGGGCAGAGCUCCAUUAGCAUUGAUGUCAGUUGGUCCCAG